rnacentral:rRNA from 1 species
AGGGUUUGAUCCUGGCUCAGAGUGAACGUUGGCGGCGUGGAUUAGGCAUGCAAGUCGAACGCGAACGAGCACUUCGGUGCUUUACUAGCGUGGCGAACGGGUGAGUAUAAGCUUGAUAAUCUACCCUCGUGCGGGGGAUAAUUCCGGGAAACUGGAAACAAUACCGCAUAAUACCAUUAAAUCGCCUGGUUUUUUGGUCAAAGAUGUUACCUUCGGGUUAUGUCGCUUGAGGAUGAGUCAAGCUCCUAUCAGGUUGUUGGUGUGGUAAUGGCGCACCAAGCCUAUGACGGGUAUGGGGACUGAGAGGUUGACCCCACACACCGGAACUGAGACACUGUCCGGACACCUACGGGUGGCUGCAGUCGAGAAUCUUCGGCAAUGUGCGCAAGCAUGACCGAGCGACGCCGCGUGCGGGAUGAAGGCCCUCGGGUUGUAAACCGCUUUUAGGGGGUAGGAAUAAGCACGGCAACCCCGUGUGAUGACUUAAACCCCAGAAUAAGUCACAGCUAAUUACGUGCCAGCAGCUGCGGUAAUACGUAAGUGGCAAACGUUACUCGGAAUCACUGGGCUUAAAGGGGGUGCAGGCGGGCUGAACAGUCGAUGUUGAAAGCCCUCAGCUAACUGGGGAAUUGGCACCGAUACUAUCAGUCUUGAGGAUAGCAGGGGGGUGUGGAACUUCUGGUGGAGCGGUGAAAUGCGUAGAUAUCAGAAGGAACACCGGUGGCGAAGGCGACGCCCUGGGCUAUUCCUGACGCUGAGACCCGAAAGCGUGGGGAGCAAACAGGAUUAGAUACCCUGGUAGUCCACGCUGUAAACUAUGGGCACUAGCAGGAGUGGUUUCUUCGGCCUCUCUUGCGUAGGGAAACCAUUAAGUGCCCCGCCUGGGGAGUACGGCCGCAAGGUUAAAACUCAAAGGAAUUGACGGGGGCUCACACAAGCGGUGGAGCAUGUGGUUUAAUUCGAAAUCAACGCGCAGAACCUUACCCGGGUUUGACAUGCAGGGAUGCCUGCUCCGAAAGGAGAUUUGGCUGCCUUCGGGUGAAACUUGCACAGGUGUUGCAUGGCUGUCGUCAGCUCGUGCCGUGAGGUGUAUUGGUUAAGUCCUCUAACGAGCGAAACCCCUGCCGUUAGUUGCUAACAGAUCUUCGGAUGCUGAGGACUCUAGCGGGACUGCCGCGUAAGUUGCGAGGAAGGUGGGGACGACGUCAAGUCAUCAUGGCCUUUAUGCCCGGGGCUACACACGUGCUACAAUGGCAGGUACAGAGUGAAGCUAACCCGCGAGGGGGAGCAAAUCGCACAAAGCCUGCCCCAGUUCAGAUCGGAGGCUGAAAUUCGCCUCCGUGAAGGAGGAAUCGCUAGUAAUCGCGAAUCAGCUACGUCGCGGUGAAUAUGUUCCUGAGCCUUGUACACACCGCCCGUCAAGCCAUGAAAGCCGGGAGCGCCCGAAGUCGUGAGUUUAACUCGCAAGAGAUGACCACGCCUACGGUGAGACCGGUGAUUGGGACUAAGUCGUAACAAGGUA